ACACCCCCUGGCCCUUUACUGCCGGCAAGUCCUAGGGUCCCCAGAGCUGUGCGCCACUAGCCCUGGACCAUGACCGCACCCACGUGGGAAGUUCAGCGUGGGCGUCCCCACAACCAAAUGUGCAUUUCUUCUAAAUCCCAAUGUGGCAGGUGACUUUUACCAAAUGGGGUGUAGUCGGCUCCACCGGCCUAUCCUCCUCAAGUCAGGCCUGCCCUCCUUCCCGGGCAGCAAAAGCAUUUUACAAAACCAAGAGUCUGGAGUUUGCCCAACGCGAUACUACACAAACGCCUCCUCAUCGAAGCCGCCAGGGCCCUGUGGCGCGUGAGCCUCAAAGAGCCGACAGGAGCAGGCUGGACAGGGAGAUCCCGUUAAUCCUCAGACACAAAUGCCCUGAGGAUCAAUAAUGGACAUCCCGUCCUGCGUUGGUGCAAGGAAACCUCAGCCCUGUGGCCGUGAAGCAGCCCCCGUAACCUGGGCACCCUGUCUCCUAGCUCCGGGGUGGCCCCCAGACUCGGGGGUUCUCAAGGUGCAGCCCCUGCACAAGCAGCAGCCCCCAGGGCCCCUGAGGCAUAAUGGCUGGGGCGGCCCCAGGAUCUCAGUGAGCCCCCGGGGGGCCAAUACCCUGGAGUGAGGAGACUCCAGGAGGGGUGGUGGGAAGGCUCUGGGCCACACGGGGCUUCCAAAGCCGAAAGCCUCGCUGACGGGCAAGCCUGGGGCCAGCUGCCGAGUGUUUUCAUUCCCUGCCCUCACCUGGCCACAGGGUUAGGAUGGCCCCUCUGGAGGUGGCGCCACCGGGCCCUCGGGGGCCAGCUGUCUUCCCAGGCCCUCAAGGAGCACCCCGCCCGAGGCCGAAGCCCCUGCGCCCCUGGCUCCUGCAGGGUGGGAGUCGGCCACGGGUGCCGCAGGAAGUCCCAUGGUUUUAGUCACAGCCACCCUAGGCCCACUCUUCCCUCCGGGUCUGUGUGCCCCGCAUCCAGUAGACAAGCACGUCGGGGCCACACACGGACGUAAGCACGGGGCCAGUUCUCAAAUCAUGACUUGAAACGGAUUCCUCGUCUGACUGUUAAGUAAGCUCUCUGGCUUCAUUCAGCUCGGGGAGCAGAGCAGGUCAGGCUCGCGCCCCCCUCCCCGUCAUGACCCCGUCCCCCAGCCACGUUCACCUCUCCGGGGACCUGACCCACAGGGAAGGGAAAGGCCGGACCAGCAGCGACGCGGUGCCAGGGGUCUUUCCCGUGUGCCCCCACCACGGAGCAGGGCGGGGGCAGUGCAGCUACGCCCCAGGCCAGGUCAGGGAGACGGGGGAGAACAAGCAGCUUGGCCUGGCUUGACCUUGAAGGUGAUGUUUCCAGCGCCAACCGUCCACGGCGCCUUCCCACGUUCCCCGAGGGCGCCCACCGAGCUCAGGACGUGGCUCUGGGGCCCUGCGUACAGCGGUGGUACGUGACCCUCGGGGCUCCCUGGGCCCACCGACUUCUGCUCUGCUGCCCAGUGGGGGCUGGGGGAGGCACUGGUCACCCCCCUACAAGCUCUGGCCUCUCGGGGCCAGGGGCACCCACGCCUGUGUCCAGGGGGCCGCCAGCCACCCAGAAAGAUCCAUGUGCAGUGACUCAAAUAGGCCUGAACCGAGGUGUGGAGUCCGGGUCUUGAGCAGACGAGGGGCACCCUUCAGGGUACCAGGCUGCGGUGUGUCCGGCGGGUGUGAACCCCGCCCCGAGGCUGGGCUCGCCUCCCCGCGAGGAUGCACGCACACACACAGGCUCGCCAGCGGGUCUCCUACCUCCGGGUGUGCCUGUGAGGCCGGGCAGCCUCCUGCUGAGAGAGACGCGGUCUUCUCAAAACUGUCUUCUGGAGGCGAGGGCGCAGCCGGGGCCGCCCGGGGCCGCCGAGCACCCUCUGCAGAACGGGGGCUGACGGGGGGACAGUCUGGGCUGGGGCCUCUGCCAGCCGCCCCGUGAGCCAUCCCAGCGUCUCCCUCCCAGCCUCAGCCUCACGGGCUCCCACAGGCCAGGGCCAUGAGGAGUGAAAGCACGGGCAAGAGACCAGCUGGAAUCGCACACAUCACAGGGCACAGCUACAGGCAUUUCUGCAGGGCCAGGGGCAGGUCACAUGGGCAAGGCCCCUGGGACCCCAGGCCUGCCCCCACCCAAGGCCAGAGCCAAGAGCUGCGCCUGGACGACGUGUGACGGCAGCAGCCCUCCUGAGCAGUGCUCUCAGGGUGCAGACCACGCAGGUGCAGGGCCAGGUGGGCCCAGCUGAGCCCAGGAAGGACCCCGAUGCUCCCCCACACUUGCCGGCACCUUCUUCUUUCCCUGAGACUGGGGGACGCAGAGCACUGGAGGGACUCAGGAUACCCUCCUCAGGGCCACGGCUUCAUGGUCCUCCGGGGGCAGCAGCUCCCCCUGCGCCACCUCCCAGGUAAGGCUACGCAGCACAGACCCUCCGGGGACGCCUGGGCCUCUGUGGCUGUAAGGGGACCUCAGGUCCAGGGGGCUCAGACGUGUCCACACGCCGCAGGCUCACAUAGGCACUUACGGAGCGCACGCGCACACACGCAGACACAGGCACUCCCGCCUCUGCAUACUCGCAGACACGCCAGCACACACACUGAGGACAGGCACACAGUGGAAGGCCAGCUCGGUGCUGGGGUGGGCACAACAGCCAGGAGACCUCCCGUGCCUCCACGGACAGCCGCCGCGGCUGUGACUCCACUGCUUCGGACACAGGGCUCGGUACUGUGCCAAGGGGCCCUGCGUCGGUGGAAUUUCUCACAAGAUCCAGAGGUGUAGGUAAAAAGUGACGGUGACAUCCCCAAGCCCUGUUUCCCAUCCUUCUGGGGACAAAGAGGUGGUCCUGCAGAGUGACACAGGGACCACCAAGUGCCAACGGCAAGGCUCCGGGAGCUGCUGGGAGCUAUUUGGGAUCAAAGCAGAGUGAGGUGAUAACAGCCAGAAAACCAGGUGAUGGCCGCAGCGGGCAGCGUGGGGACACAGCGAGGAACUGGCCCCCCGGAACCAGCUGCUCCCGUAAACAGGCGGUAACAAGACAGGCUCAGGGAGCCGAGGCCCAGCCUGCUCCUGGCGAGCUCCGGCUGAGGACAGGGAUCCCGUUCACCCUCAAAGCGCCCUGGGGGGCGGCAGGUGCGACAGUGGGGUCACGUGCACUUUCCGGAGAGGCCAGGUGUGAGGAGGGGCAGGGGCGGCCUGUCCUGCACAGGCCCCUAGGACGCGGGGCACACGCAGGCCCCGGUGGCCACCUCCGCACACCUUGCUGACCCUGGGCCCGGGGCAGGGCGCGUGGACCGUGGAACUCCCAGGGCCGCGGGGCCCAGCAUGACGCACACGGGUGUGCAGAGGGGCAACUGGAACGAGGCCUGCGCUCCUGCCCCACGCUCCACGGGGACCCUCGGCACCAGCCUGCCCUGUGCCCCCUGCACCCCUGCAUGCCUCAGCUGCACACCCCCCUUCCCAGGGCUGGUCCGAGUCCUCCCAGGGCAAGUCUCUUUUUUUUUUUCUUAAUCUUUAUCAGUUCCCUUAAUUAUGUCCACGUUCUAACUGAAUUGGGAUUUUACAAGAGUUAGUUUUACUCUGUUUCACCCAGGAGACUAGACCACUUGGGGUGAGCCCUGGGAGUAGACUGGAGGGGCUGCAUGUCCUGGGGGGUGCUGGGUGCCGCACGCUGUGGCAGGAGCUCGUUCCUGGGGUGGGGGGGCUCGGAGGACGACCCAGGAGCCCGCAGGUCCCACUGAGGCAGCGCUCUGAGCCUGUGAUUUCCAGGUGCAGGUGAGUAAACAGACCCCGAGGCCCUGGGGGGUCAGACCUCAGCCGGUGCUCAGCACACACGGGCCGCACUCGGCCUCCCAGCCCGCGGCUUCUCCCAGCAGGAAAGUGUGUACUUUCCACUCCACCAGUCACGGCCUUCACACGGGCUGUGCACACAGGAGGGAUCCGCGGCAAUCAAACACCCGCCGGGUGGACAAACAAAACCCCUCUCCAGAGCCCUACAGCUGCCUCUGCGACCCCUGGUCACCCUCCUGGCGAAUGUGACGGCCCACUUCUGAGCCCCACCCCCACCCCGAGCUGGCGUGGCACCUGCAGUCAGGGCCAUCUCCUCCCGUGGGGCCUCGGGGCCCCGGCUGACGCUGCAGGCACAGGACUAACCCAGCACACUGGGACACAGGAGGGGGCCAGCGGGGGCCCCGCACAGCAGCAGUGUCCCUGUGCUGUCCCUCGUGCCAGCUGUGGCCACCUGGGGCCCCUUGAGCCCAUUCAGGUACGUGGAUCCAGCACCUCCAUCCUGUUAGCCACGUUUCCAGGGUCAUGUGGGCCUGGGGCCACCACCGUGCCGCUCAUGAGGACGCAGAGACGCCACAGAGGUGACAGUGUUGGAGGAGCUUCUCAGGCUGCUUUCCGUGCAGACGCUGUGGACGGAAUCGGUUGGUGGUUCCCGUUGGUACUGCCACGGAGGCCCGUGGGGAGCCACCAGGAGUCCCCAGGACGGCUCCGCCCAGUCCUGGAGGCGUUUCCCACAGCUUCCCUGCGCCAGGACUGAGCCCCCAGGAGGGUCUUCUGGGACGCAAGGCACCUGAGGCAGCCGUCCAACCCUCCUUGGUUCUUGCCAAACUUCAAUGAACAAAAGCCACCUCUUCAGACUUGUUUUUUAACCACAAACUCCGUGUUUCAGAUCUAACACCCGAUGCACAGGGCAGCACGGUGCGCACACCUUCCGGCGGCGCGUGCAUCAGUCACACGGAGGCAAACAGCCGGACACUGCGGGGUCACCUUCCUGGGCUGUUAGCACAGCCCUUGCUCCCCCGCACCCCACGGAGCUCAGCUGCGUGCACGCGCAGCAGGCCGGCACCCGCGUUCACACCGGACGCUCUACCGCGCCUUUCUGAUCCCCAAGGUCCCCACGGCCUGGGCGCAGUGCCCGCCUGUGGGUGCCCCCUGCCGCACGAGCAUCACAGCGGCGGGGGGCGGUAAUUACACUGCAGCAAAGGUGAGGGAGGUGCGGAGAUCCCGGGGGACGUGCACUCACCUUCGUUCCAGGUGUCCCCAGGAAGCGGCUGCAGCAAGCACAGCAGAGGCACUGCUUGCACGAGCACCCUCCAGCCCAGCUCCCCGCAGACGGCGCCCAUGGGGCCUCUUGCUCACACCCCAAACCCUGGCACCUCCGAUGGGCCUGCAGUGGCGACAGCCGUCCUGUGGCCUGUCCCGUGUCCCAGUGGGGACAGCGAGCCCAGCCCUUAGCACCUUGCCAACCAGCCAAUCUUACAGGGAGCAAUCCCACCAGCAGGACACAGAUCAUCACAGAAGUCAUCAUUCAGCCCUGAAGACUCCAGUGAUCACUUUGAUUUUUCUCUUAAAAAUACAUCACAAACAGGAAAUCAUAAGUACUUUUGCCUAAUCCUGUUCCAAGGCAGUCUUGGAAGGGUGGGGUCUAUCGGGUCCAGAACACACGCUGGCCCACAGGAGCAGCGCAGGGCCAUGGGGGCACCCGCCCGGCUCUCGCCUUCUUCCUUUGUCCUUUUGCCUCAAGUGGUCUCCCCCUUAAAUCCACACCAAGCAAAACUCAUGACAUAGUUAAAUGAUAAACCAUGAUCCAGAAAUAAGAUCUUCGGAAGCUGUUGCCACUUGCGGCCGCCGAGAUCAAGUGAUGUCAGCCUCACACCACGUGUGCUGGAGGCGGGCCGGGGACAAGGAGAGCCACUGCCGACUCUAUGCAGGGAGGUCCCGUGUCCCUAGAGGCAGAGGAGCCACCAAACACCCCAAGUCACCCGGAUUGUGACCCUCUGGAGACCCGUCCAGGCCUGGGGGAGCCACUCCCCGGGGGCUCUUCCGCCAGGGGCUGGAGGUCAGCAGGGGGCACGGCCCCCCACCUCCUCACAGGUCUGCCCCCAGGAGGGGACGCCCCAGGCCCCGUCCCGGCCCUCAGUCUCCCCGCCCAUCCUGCUCCUCCGACUCACACAGCAAGCAGUCCCUGAGGACAGAGGUGUUCUGGUCACCUGUGCUGGGGCGCAGGGCUGUAGUCACGGCAUGCAGGAAGCACGGGCAGGCCCUCCUGGGGGGCCGCUGGCAGGCACCCUAGGACCAGACCCAGGGCUGGUUCCUACCCGGCUGGCCAAGCGCCUGAGGGCUGUGCUCCCUCUGACCCCACAGCAGUGGCCUCCGAGAUGCUAAGCCCAGGGCUACACCCAGCACAGGGGUGCAAAGCCGGGGUCUCCCCGGGCCUCCCGGGGUCUCUGCUGGAACCGGGGCUCAGUCAGUGGGGAUCAGGGCCCCCCGUCCCCAUGCUCCCAGGGGUCAUCAUCUGCUCAUCGGGGACGGGAGGCCCUGCAGCCUGGGCCCCACCACAGGCCCGCCCACCUUCAAGGGCGGGAAGCAAUCAUUCUGCGCUGUGCCGCUACCUGAUGCACAAGUCCGCGUGGCCUCCUGGACCUCAACAUGACGAGUCAGAAUUUACUUUUCUAUCCAGAAAGUACAUGCGUGAAGGUAAAAAGUCUAAAGGCCUAUGGUGAGCAAACGGCCAGAGAUGAUGGACUGCAUUCCAAUAAUACAUACUACUCAGUCCCUUAA